rnacentral:rRNA from 1 species
GUGGGGAAUCUUAGACAAUGGGGGAAACCCUGAUCUAGCCAUGCCGCGUGAUCGAUGAAGGCCUUAGGGUUGUAAAGAUCUUUCAGGUGGGAAGAUAAUGACUGUACCACCAGAAGAAGCCCCGGCUAACUCCGUGCCAGCAGCCGCGGUAAUACGGAGGGGGCUAGCGUUGUUCGGAAUUACUGGGCGUAAAGCGCACGUAGGCGGAUUGGAAAGUUGGGGGUGAAAUCCCGGGGCUCAACCCCGGAACUGCCUUCAAAACUCCCAGUCUUGAGUUCGAGAGAGGUGAGUGGAAUUCCGAGUGUAGAGGUGAAAUUCGUAGAUAUUCGGAGGAACACCAGUGGCGAAGGCGGCUCACUGGCUCGAUACUGACGCUGAGGUGCGAAAGCGUGGGGAGCAAACAGGAUUAGAAACCCUGGUAGUCC